CGGGCUAUGCUAACGAGCAGCGGUGGGCAGCAGAAGGGGUCUCUCUCUCCCCCUCUCCCCCCUCUCCCUCUCCGAACGGUGCCUCCACCAGACAUAUGUCCCCAAUUAGCAGCUAAAGAUGAGAGAAAAGAAGAGAGAAAAAGCAAGAAAGAAAAAGUGGAAUGUGCAAGGAUAGAACCCCUAGACUACCAAACUGGUGUCGCCAAAGAGUGAACAAGUAAAAGAAAUAACAAA